CAUGCAAGUCGAACGAUUCCUUCGGGGAAGAGUGGCAAACGGGUGAGUAACACACUAGUAAUCUACCUCAAAGACGAGAAUAGCCAACCGAAAGGUCGGAUAAUACUCGAUAUGUUUAAGUAACUUAUGUUAUUUAAAUAAAGCUCCGGCGCUUUGAGAUGAGCUUAUGGUCUAUCAGCUAGUUGGUGGGGUAAUAGCCUACCAAGGCAAUGACGGAUAGCGGGCGUGAGAGCGCGACCCGCCUCAUUGGGACUGAGACACUGCCCAAACUCC
rnacentral:rRNA from 1 species